GCGGAGAGGCCAGAGCUGAGUGUGGCCCCAAGAGGAGGAGGAGAUGGACAGCUGUUCAACAGCCACAAUCCGUGUAAGACUCUGAGUCUACUUCCACAAUACCUCAUGACCAGGACAGCCUUCUAGCACAGAAGGCACCAGGCUUCUGAGUAGCCCCAGCACCGGCCACUCUUCCUCAGUUCGGGCCUUCUUGCUUGGUGGUCAUGACCCCAAAAGAUGGCCAUAUACUUCAGCUGCCAUCCUCUCUGCAGCCAAGGCCAAGUCAUGUGGGCAGAGUCGUCUAAUUAUCAGCAGCUGUGACGAUCCAUAUGCAUCCAUAGAAAACCUGUCACCCGCCGCCUCCUCCUCACACGUGCCCUUCACAUACCUGGACAAAGGACCAAACUCAGGCCUCACGCUGAGGACCCAAGACACUGCUGACGGAGCCGGCGCCAGCCCCUCGUCUACCCCGGCCUACGAGCCACCGUAAACUUCCCAUCUUAGAGGAGAGAGGACCAGACGCCGGCGGGAGAGCUCCUGUAGGUAUGAAGAAUCCCAGGGCCCUCUCCUGGAAGCAGGGCCAGGAUCAGAGGGAGGGGAGGACGGCACAAAAUGUAAGGAAGCACCAAAAAACCUAGUAGUCAAGAUAAGAAGUACUUCCGUGCAAUAUUUUGUAAAAUCGAAACCAGGGCAAAGUCCACGAUGAA